rnacentral:rRNA from 1 species
AUAAACUCGGGGGACUGCUGACUAUAACCAUUUCUCAAAACAGAGGAAGGUUGCGGCAAUAACAGGUCUGUGAUGCCCUCAGAUGUCCCGGGCUGCACACGUGCUACAAUGAGUGGCGCAAUGUGCUAAUGUUUUAAGGGAUAAGCGUGCGGCCAGUAGAACGUCGGAAAUUCCCCUGGCGUCGCCUGCGCACGAUUAUCAGCCUUCCCUUAACAGGGCGGGCAACCUUUUCAAAAUACCGGUUUGAUAUUAAAGUAUAGAGUCGUUUUUUUUGGAUGGUGGUUUACGAACCAAUACCAUCCGCAACUGCUCGCGAGUUUGUGGUUCUGGUGACUCAUGGUGGGGACCGAUGUUUGUAAUUGUUUGUCGCGUGUCAACUAGGAAUGCCUUGUACUGUCGAUUCACUAAGU